CCUACGGGAGGCAGCAGUGAGGAAUCUUCGUCAAUGGACGCAAGUCUGAACCAGCCAUGCCGCGUGCAGGAAGACGGCCCUAUGAGUUGUAAACUGCUUUUGUACGGGGGUAAACGCAGAUACGCGUCUCUGUCUGAAAGUAUCGUACGAAUAAGGAUCGGCUAACUCCGUGCCAGCAGCCGCGGUAAUACGGAGGAUUCAAGCGUUAUCCGGAUUUAUUGGGUUUAAAGGGUGCGUAGGCGGUCGGAUAAGUUAGAGGUGAAAUCCCGAGGCUCAACUUCGGAAUUGCCUCUGAUACUGUUCGGCGAGAGAGUAGUUGAGGUAGGCGGAAUGGAUGGUGUAGCGGUGAAAUGCGCAGAGAUCAUACAGAACACCGAUUGCGAAGGCAGCUUACCAAGCUACUUCUGACGUUGAGGCACGAAAGCGUGGGGAGCAAACAGGAUUAGAUACCCGGGUAGUC
rnacentral:rRNA from 1 species